UGGGGAAUUUUGGACAAUGGGCGCAAGCCUGAUCCAGCAAUGCCGCGUGAGUGAAGAAGGCCCUCGGGUUGUAAAGCUCUUUUGUCAGGGAAGAAAAGGUGAUCUCUAAUACAGGUCACUCAUGACGGUACCUGAAGAAUAAGCACCUGCUAACUACGUGCCAGCAGCCGCGGUAAUACGUAGGGUGCAAGCGUUAAUCGGAAUUACUGGGCGUAAAGCGUGCGCAGGCGGUUAUAUAAGUCAGAUGUGAAAUCCCCGGGCUCAACCUGAGAACUGCAUUUGAGACUGUAUGGCUAGAGUGUGUCAGAGGGGGGUAGAAUUCCACGUGUAGCAGUGAAAUGCGUAGAUAUGUGGAGGAAUACCGAUGGCGAAGGCAGCCCCCUGGGAUAACACUGACGCUCAUGCACGAAAGCGUGGGGAGCAAACA
rnacentral:rRNA from 1 species